rnacentral:piRNA from 1 species
UGGUGUCCUUGCGGUGGCAGCCCUUUAAU